CGAAGGUGGCAAGCGUUACUCGGAAUUACUAGGCGUAAAGGGCAGGUAGGUGGUUUGGUUAGUCUGUUGUGAAAGCUCCUUGCUUAACGGGGAGAGGUCAACAGAUACUGCCAGACUUGAGUAUAGGAGAGGGUACUGGAAUUCCCGGUGUAGCGGUGAAAUGCGCAGAGAUCGGGAGGAACACCAAUGGCGAAAGCAGGUACCUGGACUAUUACUGACACUCAGCUGCGAAAGCUAGGGGAGCAAACAGGAUUAGAUACCCUGGUAGUCCUAGCCGUAAACGAUGCACAUUAGGCGUGAGGGGUAUCGACCCCUUCGUGCCGAAGCAAACGCAUUAAAUGUGCCGCCUGGGGAGUACGGCCGCAAGGUUG
rnacentral:rRNA from 1 species